GCGGAGAUUUUGCUUCUCUAAGGGGGUGUUUCCACUUGGAUUAAAAGUCGCGGAUUAAGGUAUUUUUAAGCCGCGCCAAUCCACCGCUAAUCCGUCGGAGUGUUUCAUACAUCUGGAUUAAGAAACGGAUUGAAGUACGACACUUGCUCAUUCCGUGCAUAAAAUGCAAAAACGAGUAUUGCCAGACAUUUAAAAGACUAUC
rnacentral:lncRNA from 1 species